CUGGCGGAGCCGCGGCCUCGGGUGAAGGAAGAGCAAGCGGCCCGGGGCCGGCGGGGCGGAACUCACCGCUGCAGCACCAGGAUGACGGGGAGCCGUUGGGGAACUUGGCCGAGUCCGGGACGAUGCAGACGCUGGAGCUGAGAUGAUCGGACACUUGCCAAAGAUGGUAUUUGCAGCCACAGCCUUAUCCAGAAAUCUCACAUUUGAGGCAGUUGAUCAUAAAAUGGCGGUGUUUAUAUAGGCCAUCAAAUCAAAUUCUGCCAGGGUAUUGUUGUAUACACAAUAAGACUGGGUCCUCUGGAAGUGGCUUUCAAAAGUGGGAAGCUAUUCCCAUCUUGGACAGUGCCAGAAAUGUAGCUACUUUGAAUCAGAAAAUUUCGGAGUUGGAAGAGAUCUCAGAGUCUAACCUGUACCUGAAAUCUACAAUAUACCUCAAUAAGAGAUGGCUUCAUCAUUGUGGUCAAGGUAGUCUUUGCAUGAAGUUUUCCAAUGAAUAGGAACCUACUGCUUCCAAAAGUAGCUCACUCCACUCCUGGAUAGCACUAAUUUUUGGAAAAAACAAAAUUCACUUCCUUACAGCCACCACCAAUUACUCCUUCUUUUGCCUUCUGGGACCAAGCAAAACAAAUCUAAUCCUCCCAUAUAAGAGCCCUUCAGAUGCUUCAAUAGCUAUGAUUCUCCCUCCAUCCCCCAAAAGACUUUGCUAGGUAAAUAGUCUUAGGUCCUCCAAAUGAUCUUCAUAUGCUAAGAACUUGAACCUACUCACCAUCCCAUUUGCCCUCUUCUCUGGACACUCACCAGCUUAUUAUCCUUUUCCAAAAUUGGUGUCCAAGGCCUAAGCCUUCUGCAAAAGGAUUCACUUUCCUGUAAUGUGGACCCACUGUAGGUACCUAGAAAGACCAACUAGGAAUUCUGAAAGAAGAACCAUAUGGAGUACAGACUUAACUUCCAGGGAGAUGGCAGGAAGGAGGAAGGUGAACCAGCUGCAACAGUUGGAGUCCACUAUAGACUCUUGCCCAAAAGUGCUUGGAGCUGGAAGCAAUAGAAUGACCUAAAUAUCAGGAAGAGGACAAUGGGCAGUUCACAAGGAAUGGGGAGAACCCAAGAGUAGUGAGUGCACUUGGGUUAUUGGAACUUCCCUUGAUGUUGUGAAUCUCUUGUAGGGACUGUGACACAAACCACAGAGGAAGUGGUGGGAAGGAUGGGAUGCUCAAUGUAAGAAGUAUUACUUGCGAUCAUUCCCUUUUUUUAGCCCUGGCAUGCCUUGUAAUAAAGUUCUUUUAAGUUUGAA